CCUAACACAUGCAAGUCGAACGGAGUGAAGGAGCUUGCUCUUUCAUUUAGUGGCGCACGGGUGAGUAACGUGUAGAUAAUCUGCCUUGGACUCUGGGAUAACAUCUCGAAAGGGGUGCUAAUACCGGAUAAGCCCACGAUGGCGUAAGUCAUUGCGGGAAAAGGGGGCCUCUGAAUAUGCUCCUGAUUCAAGAUGAGUCUGCGUACCAUUAGCUAGUUGGUAGGGUAAGAGCCUACCAAGGCGACGAUGGUUAGCUGGUCUGAGAGGAUGAUCAGCCACACUGGAACUGAGACACGGUCCAGACUCCUACGGGAGGCAGCAGUGGGGAAUUUUGCGCAAUGGGGGAAACCCUGACGCAGCAACGCCGCGUGAGUGAUGAAGGCUUUCGGGUCGUAAAGCUCUGUCUAGAGGGAAGAAAUGAUAGUCGGUUAAUACCCGGUUUCUUGACGGUACCUCUGAAGGAAGCACCGGCUAACUCCGUGCCAGCAGCCGCGGUAAUACGGAGGGUGCAAGCGUUGUUCGGAUUUAUUGGGCGUAAAGCGCGUGUAGGCGGUUUGUUAAGUCUGAUGUGAAAGCCCUGGGCUCAACCUGGGAAGUGCAUUGGAAACUGGCAGACUUGAAUACGGGAGAGGGUAGUGGAAUUCCUAGUGUAGGAGUGAAAUCCGUAGAUAUUAGGAGGAACACCGGUGGCGAAGGCGGCUACCUGGACCGAUAUUGACGCUGAGACGCGAAAGCGUGGGGAGCAAACAGGAUUAGAUACCCUGGUAGUCCACGCCGUAAACGAUGAGUACUAGGUGUUGCGGGUAUUGACCCCUGCAGUGCCGCAGCUAACGCAUUAAGUAC
rnacentral:rRNA from 1 species